rnacentral:rRNA from 1 species
UACGGAGGAUCCAAGCGUUAUCCGGAAUCAUUGGGUUUAAAGGGUCCGUAGGCGGGCCUGUAAGUCAGUGGUGAAAUCUCCCCGCUCAACGGGGAAACUGCCAUUGAUACUGCAGGCCUUGAAUUAUUGGGAAGUAACUAGAAUAUGUAGUGUAGCGGUGAAAUGCUUAGAGAUUACAUGGAAUACCGAUUGCGAAGGCAGGUUACUAUCAAUAUAUUGACGCUGAUGGACGAAAGCGUGGGGAGCGAACAGG